UGCGUAGUUAUCUUAAGAUCUAUUAAUAGUUCUGCUGAUAAGGAGCCCCCUCACCCUUACCACUUAUCCAGCAAAAGUGGAACAUCGAUCUAUUUCCUUAUAGCCAAUACACAGAAAUGGAGUUGUUGAUCAUAAAAUCUACAAACUGUGCAUCAAAAAAGGAGUUGAAUUUAAAGGAGUAACCAUGCCGACCAAUAUGGGCUGCUCCGGUUGGUUUUUCUGACAUUGUCUUUGGCAGCUUCUCAACACAGCGGCAUCUCUAAGGACUUUCCGGCGCGGUGGUUGUUUAGCAAGAGAAAAUCAAGGGUCCUUUUUUGUCGGAGGAACUGGAGAGAUGCACGGUGGUUUUGAUGUCUGGUGGGCUCAGUCAAUGCUUUUUCUUAACCAAAAGUUUAGAAGAAUUUCAAGUGGAUUGAUCCGGUAUGAGACUUAAGAAUUGGAUGAAUAAGGGAGUAAUUAUCAUUCGAGGGAGGUUGCAGAAGGUGAUGAAGUGUAUUUGUUCAGGUGAGCAAUUGAAGGUAGAUGAAAGGGUUCAUAUUCGAUGGAGUCCUUAGCGACUCGGCACUAUUUAGCAAGUGGCUAUUCAUCCCGAGCUGGUGAGAUGGAAACAAAGGUGGACAAUAGCAACAUUGAAGAAGCAGAGUGUUUUCUUCGUGAGAGUGGUUAUCUGAACUAGGAGGUUAGUGAUAUCUUUAUUUUGCCUUUUCUGAUGUAUUUUUGUUUCUGUUAUAUAUAAACUGAUAUGCACUCAUUUUACUAUUAGCUGUGGACUACUUUAAAAAUUCUAAACAUCUGUAUCAAUUUUCAUGGUAUACUAAGGGCCUGUUUGGUCAUACUAUGAUAUUUUUUAUGGCUACAUUUGUCACUUUGUAUGAUCUUCAAUGAACAAAUUGAGCAUUAUAAUGGGAAAAUUUAUAGAUAUGAUUUAUCCAUACAUUGUAGUAAAUACUUCAACCUGUUUCUGAUUGCUCCAUUUAAGAUAUGAAUUUAAAUAAUAUGGUAAGACAAAAUGAAGUAGGCCAUUCAAGUUCAUACGAACCAAACAGGCCAUGAUUUUUUGUUUUACUGUCAUUUAGCUGUACACUUGUAAAGUCAUUUUGAGGUGGAAGUGGCUCUGACAAUGAGAAUUCCUUAGUAGGUUUAUCCGGUUUUAGAUAUAUUUGCCUUUCUUUCUGGAUGGUCAUUGUUUAUAAUUAUAUUAAGGGCAGUACAUUGUGCUACGAGACAGAGGGUGUUUGGAUCAGAGGCUUUGUUUGUUUCCUCGGAAAAUAUUUCAUGUGAGUCUAAUAUCCUCCAUGAAUUCUUGUUACUUGUUUUAAAGGAGUAACCAUGCCAACCAUUAUGGGCGGCUCCGGUGUCUUUUUCUGACACUGUCUUUGGCAGCUUCUCAACACAGCAGCAUCUCUAAGGACUUUCUGGCGCCUUGGUUGUUAGUCCAAGGUUGAGACUGGUGUAAACUAGUGUUUGUGUUUGUGUGUGUGAUAUGAUGUAAGUGAAUGUGAAUCAUGUGUUUUUAACGAAUGGUUGUGCAGUUGAUUGCAUUGACUGUGCUGCUGAAGUGGCAGUCGUGAGUGCAGUGAAUGAUGGAAUUAAAUCGGCUAGAGACAUUGGCCUUAGAAGGCCUUGGGUAAUGAUCAGCGUCAAUGAUGAUGAAGAUCUUCACUUCCGAAAGGCUGAGUUUGAUCUGGAGGAUUGUCCACUUGAAUGUUCAAGGCCUUGUGAGAUUGUUUGUCCUGCUAUCACUCAAUGAAGGAAACUCUACAUUAGAAGUUUUGAAUGGUACCAAUGCAUCUAAAUUCUUAAAGGGUGGAGUUAUAACUGGACGCUGUUAUGGCUGUGGCCGUUGCUUUCCAGUUUGCCCCUACAGUAAUAUUAGUGGGUGUUACUUUCCUUCGUCAUGCGGCUGAUUUUCCUUAACAUAGGCUAUGUAGCCUCUUUUUUAUUUCUUUUUGAAGCCUUCAUUAAGAUUCCAAUCUUAAUUACAUUUGAAAUCAUAAACUCGUGUAUUCUUCCUCUUCUAGUGUUUUCAAUUAGAUCUCUUUCAUUAUUUUCACGUUUAAUCUCACAAACUUGUUUAGGGGUGGUUACAUAUAUAAGAGAUACUACUGCUACAGCUGAUCUUAUAAAGAGAAAUGGUAUUGAUGCUGUGGAGAUACAUACAAGU